rnacentral:rRNA from 1 species
GAGGAAAAGAAACCAACAGGGAUUGCCUCAGUAGCGGCGAGUGAAGCGGCAAAAGCUCAAAUUUGAAAUCUGGCGUCUUUGGCGUCCGAGUUGUAAUUUGAAGAAGGUAUCUUUGGGCCCGGCUCUUGUCUAUGUUCCUUGGAACAGGACGUCACAGAGGGUGAGAAUCCCGUGCGAUGAGAUGGCCCGGGUCUAUGUAAAGUUCCUUCGACGAGUCGAGUUGUUUGGGAAUGCAGCUCUAAGUGGGUGGUAAAUUCCAUCUAAAGCUAAAUAUUGGCGAGAGACCGAUAGCGAACAAGUACAGUGAUGGAAAGAUGAAAAGAACUUUGAAAAGAGAGUGAAAAAGUACGUGAAAUUGUUGAAAGGGAAGGGCUUGAGAUCAGACUUGGUAUUUUGCAAGUUACUCUUUCGGGGGUGGCCUCUGCGGUUUACCGGGCCAGCAUCGGUUUGGAGCGGUAGGAUAAUGGCGGGGGAAUGUGGCACGACUUUGGUUGUGUGUUAUAGCCUCUGACGAUACUGCCAGCCUAGACCGAGGACUGCGGUUUUUACCUAGGAUGUUGGCAUAAUGAUCUUAAGU